CCUUGACAACUACAUGAUGUAGUUGACAGUUGCCAAGACAAGGAGUGUAACAUG
rnacentral:sRNA from 12 species